rnacentral:lncRNA from 1 species
CCAUGAACAAAGCUCACUCUCUCAAGUUGAAAAAACUUAUGGACAAGUUGUCACUGAAAUUAAAUGGUGGUAGAUGUGUCCAAGGAAUACUGUGGGGAUUCAGUCAUUUUAUGAAUCUUAUGAUAGAUGAAUGUGUGAAGAUGGCAAUUAGUGGGCAACAGAACAAUAUUAGAACAGUGGAAAUAGGAGGAAACAGUAUCAUCACGUUAAAAGCCUUGGAACAAGU